GAUGAUGUCCAAUUAAAUCUUUUCUCCUUUUAGAUAAGCUCAGUUUGUGUUCUAUCUAAGAAAUUUGGAUACAUACUGACGCAGCUUAUGAACGUAUUCCACUAGCUUUUAUUCUAGAAGUUUUUAGUUUUAGGUUUUACAUUUAAGACCCAUCUUGUUGAACUUACAUGUGGUUACCAACUGCAUUCACUUACGCCUAGUUUUUUUUUUGUUAUUGUUCGUUCCUUACAAUGUGAACUAUCACUUGCAAAUCAACAGAGUUGCAUUUAUUUUUUUCAAUCUUUAUGAAUCAUCUUUCUUUUAUUGUAUUUUUGCACAGGCAAAGUCCUCGAGGAGCAUGCUGAAGUGACAAGAGUGCCUUUCUUAGGGGAAAUACAUUCAAUAUUUCACUGUUAAUGAAGAGAAAGUCCUCUUCUACUUCUGAUUUGCUGAGAGGUUUUAUCCAGAAGACAUAUUUAAUUUUGGCAAGUGGAAAGUGUUUUUUCUUCAUAUGUGUAGACGAUGCAUCUUUUUCCUUGAGUUUUUAAAUAUGGUGAUUUACAUCAAUUGAUUUUCAAAUAUUGAACCAACCUUUUAUUCCUGGGUUUAAACCCCAGCCAGGAGGGGAUCUUUCUUGCGUCUUCACCAUGAGAACCUGAGGUUCUUGAAAAUAAAUCCCAUGAAAGCCUGGGGAUCUCCUGAAGACUGCAGACCUGAGAAGUUUCUCCCUUUCACAUAAGUCCACACUUAGCCUCCAACAAUUCCUCAAAAUUACCAUUUAAUUGUGCCUGUCAGCUUGUGACUCCAGUGGCUUCUGCUCCAGAUGAGGAAUCUGUGGGACUUGGCCAAGGUCACAUACCUAAUACAUGGUAACGUGGAGAUGGAACCCAAGGAUGGUUGAUUCCAGCCUGUACUCUUGACAGGUCUUCUGAGCACUUCCUGGAGUUGUUAUGUGUGUGAGUCAGGAUAUCAGCAAACGUAUUUGGAGGAGGUUAACAAUUUGUUCUAAUAAAUUCAUCAAUUAAGCCCAGUAACUCCUGAAUGAGGGAGAAAAGAGAAUUGAAUCAAGUGAGUUAGACAGAUGCCUUAAAACUUAACUUUCAAAUGGAAUUGAUUCCUAUGGAAUGCAAAAUCCCUGCAAACACACUGCCAGAUGGAGAUGUGUGUGUUGGCCUCCACCACAUCAUCAACAUCUCUGCUCAAAUUCUAGUGAGCUCUGAGUGCUCCAUUACCCAUUGCAUUCUGCCCCAUUUGAUCCAGGCGCGUUUGCCACUUUGAUGCCUUCACAGUACAAACAAGGCUCGAAGGAUGUGAGACACAAAAUGAUCAGAAGGUAAACUAUUACCAAGAUGCAUCACCAUGUAUACACUAACGAUCUCUUGAGAGUUUUAGACAAUAAAUAGAAGAAACCACUAAACAAGUAGAAGCUUAGAGAGAGUGGAGAUAUUACUCAUUUCAAAGCAAUGAUUAAGAAGUGGAUGCUUUUUACUAGAAAAUGCUUUUUUGGAGCCUGACAACAAAUAAUUUUUGAAUAAAAAUGAGAUUAGCCCUCAGCCAACAUCUGUGCCAAUCGUGCUCCACUUUAUGUAUGGGCUGCCGCCUCAGUAUGACUGAUGAGUGGUGUAGGUCCACACCUGGGAUCCAAACUCGUGAACCUGGGAGAGUAGCCAACAUAAUACUGAAGGAGAAGAACAAAGUUGGAGGAUUACCACUACCCAGCUGCAAAACUUACUAUAAAACUACAGUAAUCAAAACAGUAUGGUAUUAGUGAAU